UUAAAAACAAUUCAGUACAUUACAAUUUCUCGUAGGAAUAUUGAGUUUGCAUUCCUCAACAACAGUAUCUAUUGACGAUGCAUAAAGAUACAUACAUACAAAAUUAAUUAAAAAGAAAGUCUCAUCCCUCUAAAAACAACACUCGUUUCCUCUCUCCCUGCAUGAAAGGAAGCAAGUUAGGGAAACGUAUCCACGUAAUGAAGAGACUUUUGGAUGUACCUAUGUGACUAAGUUCUACUCUUUGAACCAUCAGGACUACCAGCGCAGUCUCCACUUGAGACCUGUGAGCCCUGACCCGCUGUUAACCUGAGAGCUUACUGAAGCCCGAAUCAGCGAGAUGGAGGAGGAGGCCAGGUGCUUCUUGGAGAGGUUUGUGGAGGAGUUCCCGGCCGCUCUGGAGGAAGGCAGUCUGCUUCCUGUCAGACCCAUGAGCCGCAAAGUGUCCCUGGAGGAGCUGCAUGGAGAGAGUCUGGAGCUGGGCCUGAGGCUGCUUGCUGCCAGACCCUCCAAGAAGUCUACGCUCCAGUUCUUUUGGUGAGUGAAAUAUUAUUUUCCGUUAUACGUUAGCAUUAUUAGCAUGUUAACUAGC